CCUACGGGUGGCAGCAGUGAGGAAUAUUGGUCAAUGGCCGAGAGCCUGAACCAGCCAAGUCGCGUGAAGGAAGACUGCCCUACGGGUUGUAAACCUCUUUUAUAGGGGAGCAAAGCGAACCACGUGUGGUUCAUUGAAAGUACUCUAAGAAAAAGCAUCGGCUAACUCCGUGCCAGCAGCCGCGGUAAUACGGAGGAUGCGAGCGUUAUCCGGCUUUAUUGGGUUUAAAGGGGGCGCAGGGGGGGGGUGAAGUCAGGGGGCAAAGUUGGGCGCUUAAACGUAUAAUUGCGGUUGAUACUGGCAGUCUUGAGUGCGGUAGAGGUAGGCGGAAUUCGUGGUGUAGCGGUGAAAUGCUUAGAUAUCACGAAGAACUCCGAUUGCGAAGGCAGCAUAC
rnacentral:rRNA from 1 species